GAUUCGAACUCAGAGCCUCCGACUCCGGGACCAUUGCCCGGUGCAGGAAGGGGCCUGCUUAGCGUGGUGAGCUAUGCUCCCCACCCUCCUUGCAAGAAGUUUCUCU